CCUACGGGUGGCAGCAGUGGGGAAUAUUGCGCAAUGGGCGAAAGCCUGACGCAGCGACGCCGCGUGAGGGAAGAAGGUCUUCGGAUCGUAAACCUCUGUCAGCAGGGACGAACGGUCACUGUGCUAAUCAGCAGUGAAUUGACGGUACCUGCACAGGAAGCACCGGCUAACUACGUGCCAGCAGCCGCGGUAAUACGGAGGGUGCGAGCGUUAGUCGGAAUUACUGGGCGUAAAGGGAUCGUAGGCGGUAUGUCAAGUCAGGGGUGAAAUCCCCGGGCUCAACGUGGGAACUGCCUUUGAAACUAGGAAACUGGAGUGAUGGAGAGGAUAGCGGAAUUCCAGGUGUAGGAGUGAAAUCCGUAGAUAUCUGGAGGAACAUCAGUGGCGAAGGCGACUAUCUGGCAAAUAACUGACGCUGAGGAGCGAAAGCGUGGGGAGCAAACAGGAUUAGAUACCCCAGUAGUC
rnacentral:rRNA from 1 species